rnacentral:lncRNA from 1 species
GAGAAUCUUAAGCAGGCUUCAUGCUCAGCAUGGAGCCCAAUGUGGGCCUGGAUCCCAUGACCCUGGCAUCAUGACCUGAGCUGAAAUCAAGAGUCAGAUGCUCAUCAGGCUGAGCCACCCAGGCAUCCCUCAUUUUCUUUUUAAAAAGGAGAUAGAAGUUUAUUGAAUACACUGCAAAGGAGCAGCAAGCAGGGGCAGCAAAGGAGGGACUGUCUUUUCUGUAAUCUUUAAAACCAUGUUCUUUGGAUGUCUCGAGGAAACAGUGUGGGAAUAAGUAGUAAAUUUGUAAACCCAGGAUAGAAUGUAAUCUCGACUUUAUUGAUAAGAAUUGACAUAAACAACAUAGCAAAGUACAAAUAACAAUACCGAAUGCAGGAGGUGUAGAGAGAGACACAAGACUAAAGGAAACACAAUAAAAAAGAAAAGUACGUUCCCUAACUGCCUCAGGUAUUUAAGACAGAUUGUCAUCAUAUGCAGAAAGUUGUCAGUAUUUUUGUAUUUCUGAUUCUGUGCUUUGUUUCAGAGUCAUGAGAGCUGUAAAUAAUAACAUGCUGUUGACCCUUUACCAAUUUGUCCUUCUACAGUUAUGAUGCACAAUAGCCCAAUUUUCUUCUUUUACGUUAGUCCGAAACUGGAAGAGUGCAGUCUGAGGUAGACUUGAGGUUCAAGCUCUGUCAUGAAUGUAGUCUUCACCACCACCACCAAGACCAGCUGGCAGACCGAAGUAGUUUCCCAUGUGCUCAUGAAAGAAUGGGUGUUGUAACAUAGCUUUCCUAGAAGCAAAUACUGUUAAGCUUUUGCUUAUCUAAACAUGUUGGCCAGGAGGAGGUUAAAC